AUACGGAGGAUGCAAGCGUUAUCCGGAUUUAUUGGGUUUAAAGGGUGCGUAGGCGGUUUGCUAAGCGGGAGGUGAAAUGCCGGCGCUCAACGUCGGAAGUGCCUCCCGAACUGGUGGACUUGAAUGACUCUGCCGUGGGAGGAAUGUGUAGUGGAGCGGUGAAAUGCUUAGAGAUUACACAGAACACCGAUUGCGAAGGCAUCUCACGAAGGGUUGAUUGACGCUGAGGCACGAAAGCGUGGGGAUCAAACAGGAUUAGAUACCCUGGUAGUCCACGCAGUAAACGAUGAUGGCUAACCGCUGGGCUUAUCAGUUCAGUGGCCAAGCGAAAGCGAUAAGCCAUCCACCUGGGGAGUACGACCGCAAGGUUGAAACUCAAAGGAAUUGACGGGG
rnacentral:rRNA from 1 species